rnacentral:rRNA from 1 species
CGCUGGCGGCACGCCUAAUACAUGCAAGUCGAACGAAGUAGCAAUACUUAGUGGCAGACGGGUGAGUAACAUGUGGGUAUCUUCCCUUUGGUGAGGAAUAACACGAGGAAACUUGUGCUAAUACCUCAUAAGUCUUUACGGAGAAAGCUUUAUGCGCCAUUGGAUGAGCCUGCACUUGAUUAGUUUGUUGGUGGGGUAAUGGCCUACCAAGACUUUGAUCAAUAGCUGAUUUGAGAGGAUGAUCAGCCACAUUGGGACUGAGACACGGCCCAAACUCCUACGGGAGGCAGCAGUAGGGAAUCUUGCACAAUGGAGGAAACUCUGAUGCAGCGAUGCCGCGUGAGUGAAGAAGGCCUUUGGGUUGUAAAGCUCUUUCGUCGGGGAAGAAAAUGACUGUACCCGAAUAAGAAGGUCCGGCUAACUUCGUGCCAGCAGCCGCGGUAAUACGAAGGGACCUAGCGUAGUUCGGAAUUACUGGGCUUAAAGAGUUCGUAGGUGGUUAAAAAAGUUGGUGGUGAAAUCCCAGAGCUUAACUCUGGAACUGCCAUCAAAACUUUUUAGCUAGAGUAUGAUAGAGGAAAGCAGAAUUUCUAGUGUAGAGGUGAAAUUCGUAGAUAUUAGAAAGAAUACCGAUUGCGAAGGCAGCUUUCUGGAUCAUUACUGACACUGAGGAACGAAAGCAUGGGUAGCGAAGAGGAUUAGAUACCCUCGUAGUCCAUGCCGUAAACGAUGUGUGUUAGACGUUGGAAAUUUAUUUUCAGUGUCGCAGCGAAAGCAAUAAACACACCGCCUGGGGAGUACGACC